UACGUAGGGGGCAAGCGUUGUCCGGAAUCAUUGGGCGUAAAGAGCGUGUAGGCGGCCUGGUAAGUCCGCUGUGAAAGUCCAGGGCUCAACCCUGGAAUGCCGGUGGAAACUGUCAGGCUCGAGUCCGGAAGAGGCGAGUGGAAUUCCUGGUGUAGCGGUGAAAUGCGCAGAUAUCAGGAGGAACACCAAUUGCGAAGGCAGCUCGCUGGGACGUAACUGACGCUGAUGCGCGAAAGCGUGGGGAGCGAACAGG
rnacentral:rRNA from 1 species